AUGUCGUCCUCCUCCUUGUCCAAGGCCAGAUUCGAGGGUAAAGGAGGCGGAGCCGGGAGAUCCAUAUCGCUGGCCGCCUCCAGGGCCAAGCUCGCCGCAGCCACCAAGAAAGCUACUACUACUAGUACAGCCGGAGGCGGGCGGGGCAAGGGCAAGGCGGCCAAGAAGGUCUUCUCCCUCACCGGCCAGAAGUUCGAAACACCAGAGGAGAGGGAGCCCCUGAGGAUCUUCUAUCAAUCGCUCUCCAACCAGAUCCCAUCCAGCGACAUGGCCGAAUUCUGGCUAAUGGAGCACGGCCUGUUAUCUCCGGAGAGAGCCAAGAAAGCCUACGACAGGAAGCUCAAACGGCAGCAGCAGAUCAAAUCAGGGAUCCCCAUCAAGUCGUCAAAUUCCACCACUGUCAACAAGCACAAUAACAACAAUAAACCUGCAGAGAGCUGGAAGAAACCUGUACCAGUGGUUUCUUCUUCUUCCACAGCGCGUCACAACACAGAUCAUUCCGCCGGCAAGGCCAAGAGAAGAGUCGAGUACAGCAGCGACGACGACGACGACGACAAAGAAUUCAUUGUCAAGCUCAAGAGACCCAAUUUCAACUCCAACUCCAAUUCCACUUCCAGGGGUGGCUGA
rnacentral:rRNA from 1 species